rnacentral:rRNA from 1 species
GAUGAACGCUGGCGGCGUGCCUAAUACAUGCAAGUCGAGCGAACAGACGAGGAGCUUGCUCCUCUGACGUUAGCGGCGGACGGGUGAGUAACACGUGGAUAACCUACCUAUAAGACUGGGAUAACUUCGGGAAACCGGAGCUAAUACCGGAUAAUAUAUUGAACCGCAUGGUUCAAUAGUGAAAGACGGGUUUGCUGUCAACUAUAGAUGGAUCCGCGCCGCAUUAGCUAGUUGGUAAGGUAACGGCUUACCAAGGCGACGAUGCGUAGCCGACCUGAGAGGGUGAUCGGCCACACUGGAACUGAGACACGGUCCAGACUCCUACGGGAGGCAGCAGUAGGGAAUCUUCCGCAAUGGGCGAAAGCCUGACGGAGCAACGCCGCGUGAGUGAUGAAGGUCUUCGGAUCGUAAAACUCUGUUAUUAGGGAAGAACAAAUGUGUAAGUAACUAUGCACGUCUUGACGGUACCUAAUCAGAAAGCCACGGCUAACUACGUG